AACGAACGCUGGCGGCAUGCCUAACACAUGCAAGUCGAACGAGACCUUCGGGUCUAGUGGCGCACGGGUGCGUAACGCGUGGGAAUCUGCCCUUGGGUUCGGAAUAACAGUUGGAAACGACUGCUAAUACCGGAUGAUGACGUAAGUCCAAAGAUUUAUCGCCCAAGGAUGAGCCCGCGUAGGAUUAGCUAGUUGGUGAGGUAAAGGCUCACCAAGGCGACGAUCCUUAGCUGGUCUGAGAGGAUGAUCAGCCACACUGGGACUGAGACACGGCCCAGACUCCUACGGGAAGCAGCAGUGGGGAAUAUUGGACAAUGGGCGAAAGCCUGAUCCAGCAAUGCCGCGUGAGUGAUGAAGGCCUUAGGGUUGUAAAGCUCUUUUACCCGGGAUGAUAAUGACAGUACCGGGAGAAUAAGCCCCGGCUAACUCCGUG
rnacentral:rRNA from 1 species